AGCUAGCCGAAGGCCUUUGCUGCUAAAGGGGGUGGAUGGUUUGCAAGGGAAUCCGCCAACAAGAGUGCAUAUGGCCGAUCCAAGGCUACAAAAACUGAAAUGCCUUGAGCCCUCUUUGAUUUCAGCCACUCUCCUCCAGCAAAUACUUUGGUAUGAUUAAAUCUGAAUGCAUUGGGUGCUUCAAAGACUCAAAUACUUGUGUUGUCUACUUUAUUAUGUUGACGUCUCUCCAUUGCUUCUCUAGCUCCGAUCAGAGCCAUCCGGUGGUACUUUUUGGGUGUUCGGGUGGCUUUGGUUCUGUGCACUGAUGGGUUACCGGCGGUCUUUGAUGCUGGUGGGCGAUUCUCCUUGGAUUGGUUCUCUUGGGGUUGGAUUGAUGUAGGGGCG
rnacentral:misc_RNA from 1 species